AACGCGAAGAACCUUACCUAGACUUGACAUCUCCUGCAUUACUCUUAAUCGAGGAAGUCUCUUCGGGACAGGAUGACAGGUGGUGCAUGGUUGUCGUCAGCUCGUGUCGUGAGAUGUUGGGUUAAGUCCCGCAACGAGCGCAACCCUUAUUGUUAGUUGCCAUCAUUAAGUUGGGCACUCUAGCGAGACUGCCCGGGUUAACCGGGAGGAAGGUGGGGAUGACGUCAAAUCAUCAUGCCCCUUAUGUCUAGGGCUACACACGUGCUACAAUGGUCGGUACAAUAAGACGCAAGCCCGCGAGGGGGAGCAAAACUGGAAAACCGAUCUCAGUUCGGAUUGUAGGCUGAAACUCGCCUACAUGAAGCUGGAGUUGCUAGUAAUCGCGAAUCAGCAUGUCGCGGUGAAUACGUUCCCGGGUCUUGUACACACCG
rnacentral:rRNA from 1 species